AUUGAACGCUGGCGGCAUGCUUUACACAUGCAAGUCGAACGGUAACAGGCCUUCGGGUGCUGACGAGUGGCGUACGGGUGUGUAAUGCAUCGGAACGUACCCAGAGGUGGGGGAUAACGCAGCGAAAGCUGUGCUAAUACCGCAUGUGAUCUGAGGAUGAAAGCGGGGGACCGAGCAGCAAUGUUUGGCCUCGUGCCUUUGUAGCGGCCGAUGUCGGAUUAGCUAGUUGGUGGGGUAAAGGCCUACCAAGGCGACGAUCCGUAGCUGGUCUGAGAGGACGAGCAGCCACACUGGGACUGAGACACGGCCCAGACUCCUACGGGGGGCAGCAGUGGGGAAUUUUGGACAAUGGGCGCAAGCCUGAUCCAGCAAUGCCGCGUGCGGGAAGAAGGCCUUCGGGUUGUAAACCGCUUUUGGCAGGAACGAAACGGUGUCCGCUAAUACCGGGCGCUAAUGACGGUACCUGCAGAAUAAGCACCGGCUAACUACGUG
rnacentral:rRNA from 1 species